UACAGAGGUCCCAAGCGUUGUUCGGAUUCACUGGGCGUAAAGGGUGCGUAGGUGGUGAGGUAAGUCGGAUGUGAAAGCUCGGAGCUCAACUCCGAAAUGGCAUUGGAAACUACCUUGCUCGAGGGUUGGAGGGGGGACUGGAAUACUUGGUGUAGCAGUGAAAUGCGUAGAUAUCAAGUGGAACACCAGUGGCGAAGGCGAGUCCCUGGACAAACUUCUGACACUGAGGCACGAAAGCUAGGGGAGCAAAC
rnacentral:rRNA from 1 species